rnacentral:rRNA from 1 species
AUGAACGCUGGCGGCGUGCCUAAUACAUGCCAGUCGAGCGAACAGAUGAGGAGCUUGCUCCUCUGACGUUAGCGGCGGACGGGUGAGUAACACGUGGAUAACCUACCUAUAAGACUGGGAUAACUUCGGGAAACCGGAGCUAAUACCGGAUAAUAUAUUGAACCGCAUGGUUCAAUAGUGAAAGACGGUUUUGCUGUCACUUAUAGAUGGAUCCGCGCCGCAUUAGCUAGUUGGUAAGGUAACGGCUUACCAAGGCGACGAUGCGUAGCCGACCUGAGAGGGUGAUCGGCCACACUGGAACUGAGACACGGUCCAGACUCCUACGGGAGGCAGCAGUAGGGAAUCUUCCGCAAUGGGCGAAAGCUUGACGGAGCAACGCCGCGUGAGUGAUGAAGGUCUUCGGAUCGUAAAACUCUGUUAUUAGGGAAGAACAAAUGUGUAAGUAACUAUGCACGUCUUGACGGUACCUAAUCAGAAAGCCACGGCUAACUACGUG